UGCCCAUUGGCCCAGUGGUUAAGGCGUCUGACUGUUAGUUAGCCAGCUAUGUGUAGCUAGCCCAACGGAAGAAAUCAGAAGAUCCCUGGUUCGACCCCAGGAUGGGCAG